rnacentral:rRNA from 1 species
UAGGGAAUAUUGGACAAUGGGCGGAAGCCUGAUCCAGCCAUGCCGCGUGCAGGAAGAAGGCGUUAUGCGUUGUAAACUGCUUUUGAUGGGGAAUAAAAAGGCUCUGCGGAGCAAAUUGCAGGUACCCAUAGAAUAAGCCACGGCUAACUACGUGCCAGCAGCCGCGGUAAUACGUAGGUGGCGAGCGUUAUCCGGAUUUAUUGGGUUUAAAGGGUGCGUAGGCGGUUUAAUAAGUCAGUGGUGAAAGUAGGCAGCUCAACUGUCUGACUGCCAUUGAUACUGUUAGGCUAGAGUAUAGUAGAGGUAGGCGGAAUUUAGGGUGUAGCGGUGAAAUGCAUAGAUACCCUAAAGAACACCGAUUGCGUAGGCAGCUUACUGGACUAUAACUGACGCUGAGGCA